CCUUCGGGUCUAGUGGCGCACGGGUGCGUAACGCGUGGGAAUCUGCCCUUGGGUUCGGAAUAACUUCGGGAAACUGAAGCUAAUACCGGAUGAUGACGUAAGUCCAAAGAUUUAUCGCCCAAGGAUGAGCCCGCGUAGGAUUAGCUAGUUGGUGAGGUAAAGGCUCACCAAGGCGACGAUCCUUAGCUGGUCUGAGAGGAUGAUCAGCCACACUGGGACUGAGACACGGCCCAG
rnacentral:rRNA from 1 species